rnacentral:rRNA from 1 species
GAUGAACGCUGGCGGCGUGCUUAACACAUGCAAGUCGAACGGAAAGGCUCCUGCUUGCAGGGGUACUCGAGUGGCGAACGGGUGAGUAACACGUGGGUGAUCUGCCCUGCACUUCGGGAUAAGCCUGGGAAACUGGGUCUAAUACCGGAUAGGACGAUGGUUUGGAUGCCAUUGUGGAAAGUUUUUCGGUGUGGGAUGAGCUCGCGGCCUAUCAGCUUGUUGGUGGGGUAAUGGCCUACCAAGGCGUCGACGGGUAGCCGGCCUGAGAGGGUGUACGGCCACAUUGGGACUGAGAUACGGCCCAGACUCAUACGGGAGGGAGCAGUGGGGAAUAUUGCACAAUGGGAGCAAGCCUGAUGCAGCGACGCCGCGUGGGGGAUGACGGCCUUCGGGUUGUAAACUACUUUCGCUAGGGACGAAGCGCAAGUGACGGUACCUGGAGAAGAAGCACCGGCUAACUACGUG